CGGGGGCCCGCACAAGCGGUGGAGCAUGUGGUUUAAUUCGACGCAACGCGAAGAACCUUACCUGGCCUUGACAUGCAGAGAGCUUUCCAGAGAUGGAUUGGUGCCUUCGGGAACUCUGACACAGGUGCUGCAUGGCCGUCGUCAGCUCGUGUCGUGAGAUGUUGGGUUAAGUCCCGUAACGAGCGCAACCCCUAUCCCUAGUUGCUUGCAGUUCGGCUGAGAACUCUAGGGAGACUGCCGGUGACAAACCGGAGGAAGGUGGGGAUGACGUCAGGUCAUCAUGGCCCUUACGGCCAGGGCUACACACGUGCUACAAUGGUGCGUACAGAGGGCUGCAAACCCGCGAGGGGGAGCUAAUCUCACAAAACGCGUCGUAGUCCGGAUCGGAGUCUGCAACUCGACUCCGUGAAGUCGGAAUCGCUAGUAAUCGCGAAUCAGAAUGUCGCGGUGAAUACGUUCCCGGGCCUUGUACACACCGCCCGUCACACCAUGGGAGUGGAUUGCACCAGAAGUGGUUAGUCUAACCUUCGGGAGGACGAUCACCACGGUGUGGUUCAUGACUGGGGUGAAGUCGUAACAAGGUAGCCGUAGGGGAACCUGCGGCUGGAUCACCU
rnacentral:rRNA from 1 species